rnacentral:rRNA from 1 species
AGCGAACGCUGGCGGCAGGCCUAACACAUGCAAGUCGAACGAACCUUUCGGGGUUAGUGGCGGACGGGUGAGUAACACGUGGGAACGUGCCUUUAGGUUCGGAAUAACUCAGGGAAACUUGUGCUAAUACCGAAUGUGCCCUUCGGGGGAAAGAUUUAUCGCCUUUAGAGCGGCCCGCGUCUGAUUAGCUAGUUGGUUGAGGUAAUGGCUCACCAAGGCGACGAUCAGUAGCUGGUCUGAGAGGAUGAUCAGCCACAUUGGGACUGAGACACGGCCCAAACUCCUACGGGAGGCAGCAGGGGGGAAUCUUGCGCAAUGGGCGAAAGCCUGACGCAGCCAUGCCGGGUGAAUGAUGAAGGUUUUAGGAUUGUAAAAUUCUUUCCCCGGGGACGAUAAUGGCGGUACCCGGAGAAGAAGCCCCGGCUAACUUCGU